UUUCCGUAGGUGAACCUGCGGAAGGAUCAUUACAGAGUUCAUGCCCUCACGGGUAGAUCUCCCACCCUUGAAUAUUUAUACCUUAGUUGCUUUGGCAGGCCGUGGAAACACCAUGGGCUCCGGCUUAUGCGUGCCUGCCAGAGGAAACAAACUCUGUUUUUAGUGAUGUCUGAGUACUAUAUAAUAGUUAAAACUUUCAACAACGGAUCUCUAGGUUCUG
rnacentral:misc_RNA from 1 species